rnacentral:rRNA from 1 species
GAUGAACGCUGACAGAAUGCUUAACACAUGCAAGUCUACUUGAUCCUUCGGGUGAUGGUGGCGGACGGGUGAGUAACGCGUAAAGAACUUGCCCUGCAGUCUAGGACAACAUUUGGAAACGAAUGCUAUUACCGGAUAUUAUGUGAGUUUCGCAUGAAAUUCAUAUGAAAGCUAUAUGCGCUGCAGGAGAGCUUUGCGUCCUAUUAGCUAGUUGGUGAGGUAACGGCUCACCAAGGCGAUGAUAGGUAGCCGGCCUGAGAGGGUGAACGGCCACAAGGGGACUGAGACACGGCCCUUACUCCUACGGGAGGCAGCAGUGGGGAAUAUUGGACAAUGGACCAAAAGUCUGAUCCAGCAAUUCUGUGUGCACGAUGAAGUUUUUCGGAAUGUAAAGUGCUUUCAGUUGGGACGAAGUAAGUGACGGUACCAACAGAAGAAGCGACGGCUAAAUACGUGCCAGCAGCCGCGGUAAUACGUAUGUCGCAAGCGUUAUCCGGAUUUAUUGGGCGUAAAGCGCGUCUAGGCGGUUUGGUAAGUCUGAUGUGAAAAUGCGGGGCUCAACUCCGUAUUGCGUUGGAAACUGCCAAACUAGAGUACUGGAGAGGUGGGCGGAACUACAAGUGUAGAGGUGAAAUUCGUAGAUAUUUGUAGGAAUGCCGAUGGGGAAGCCAGCCCACUGGACAGAUACUGACGCUAAAGCGCGAAAGCGUGGGUAGCAAACAGG